rnacentral:rRNA from 1 species
AAUGGCAGGUCAGCAUACUGCCGUGAAUACGUUCCCGGGCCUUGAACACACCGCCCGUCACACCAUGAGAGUUGGAAAUACCCGAAGCCUGUGAGCUAACAGUAAUGAGGCAGCAGUCGAAGGUAGAGCCAAUGAUUGGGGUGAAGUCGUAACAAGGUAUC